AUUUCUCCAAAUCUUUUCUGAUGAAGAAACAAACUCAUCUACAUCUUGAAUGACCUGAGGCUUUCUAACAGCAUCUGUCAACUUUAAAGUGAUUGGCCAAUCAAAUCAAACAAGGCAUAGCUAUCCUGAAGCAUCAAAUCUGAAGCAUCAUGCCGGAAGUUUGUUCGACUUCUUGUGAACGAAAACAAACACGCAGGAUAAUAAACGAGAGAGGAGUUCUGUGUUUAAGUUGGACGGGAUGUCUAGCACAAACGGUGGGAAAGGAUGCUGGCUGCAGGUUUGUACUCGGAGGGAAGCUGAGCUGAGGUGAGCAAAGCAGCACAACCGGAGAAAUGCUUUACCUAAAGCCAAACCACGAGAUAAGAUACAAGGGCUUUGCCAUGAAUUUCUAUAUACCUCUGGGCGUUUGUUGAGUGAUGUUUUGUCUUCAGCAGGAGGAAAAACAGGACGGAAUAGAAAAAAAUAAGGAGGUGAAACAACUUAAUGUGAUUGUAAUCAAAGCAUCACUUUGUUUAGCAGCUUGGCAUUCUGUCGCUGAUGUGGCACCGCUUCGAAAAGCAUCAUUAAAGCCAUUAACUUUCAUAAUUUCCCCAAUUUUCUUUAUUUCAAAUAUAAACAGUCUCCAGUCAGCCAAGCGCUCUGAGACCUCCCGUUUCACAGGGAGCUAUCAGAUGAAUGCUGGGAUAUCUUAGGGGCUUUCUGGCUGAUCGGAACAUAUUCUAAAUGAUCCUGAAAAAGUCCUAAUGGCAAACACAGGUGGGAAAAGUAUUACAAGCCCA